rfam:Sporisorium reilianum SRZ2 chromosome 14 complete DNA sequence
GCCUUCUUAGCUCAGCGGUAGAGCACUUCACUAGUAACGAAGAGGUCAAUGAAGAGGUCAGUCGUUCGAGUCGGCUAGGAGGCA